GCACACACCGGAGGUCAUCCAACAACAUGGGUUGGAGGCUCUGACUGUCAAAAGGAGGGUAUCUGGCUCUGGAGUGACGGCAGCGGUUUUGAAUUUGACUCCUGGUGUGAAGGAGAACCAGACAAUUAUGUUGGUGCCGAGUCUUGUUUACAGAUUAAUGCUAACGAGAGCCAUUGCUGGAAUGACUUCCCGUGUUCAACUGUCC